rnacentral:rRNA from 1 species
GACGAACGCUGGCGGCGUGCCUAAUACAUGCAAGUCGAACGAGUGGCGGACGGGUGAGUCAUGUCUGGGAAACUGCCUGAUGGAGGGGGAUAACUACUGGAAACGGUAGCUAAUACCGCAUACCAUCGGAUGUGCCCAGAUGGGAUUAGCUAGUAGGUGGGGUAACGGCGCACCUAGGCGACGAUCCCUAGCUGGUCUGAGAGGAUGAGCAGCAACACUGGAACUGAGACACGGUCCAGACGCCUACGGGAGGCAGCAGUGGGGAAUAUUGCACAAUGGGCGCAAGACUGAUGCAGCCAUGCCGCGUGUAUGAAGAAGGCCUUCGGGUUGUAAAGUACUUUCAGCGGGGAGGCGUUACCCGCAGAAGAAGCACCGGCUAACUCCGUGCCAGCAGCCGCGGUAAUAC